GAUGAACGCUGGCGGCGUGCCUAAUACAUGCAAGUCGAGCGAACAGACGAGGAGCUUGCUCCUCUGACGUUAGCGGCGGACGGGUGAGUAACACGUGGAUAACCUACCUAUAAGACUGGGAUAACUUCGGGAAACCGGAGCUAAUACCGGAUAAUAUAUUGAACCGCAUGGUUCAAUAGUGAAAGACGGUUUUGCUGUCACUUAUAGAUGGAUCCGCGCCGCAUUAGCUAGUUGGUAAGGUAACGGCUUACCAAGGCAACGAUGCGUAGCCGACCUGAGAGGGUGAUCGGCCACACUGGAACUGAGACACGGUCCAGACUCCUACGGGAGGCAGCAGUAGGGAAUCUUCCGCAAUGGGCGAAAGCUUGACGGAGCAACGCCGCGUGAGUGAUGAAGGUCUUCGGAUCGUAAAACUCUGUUAUUAGGGAAGAACAAAUGUGUAAGUAACUAUGCACGUCUUGACUGUACCUAAUCAGAAAGCCACGGCUAACUACGUG
rnacentral:rRNA from 1 species